rnacentral:ribozyme from 1 species
CUUUUCUAAUUGUCACUGUCGUUGUUGCGUUCUCAAUCUCG